GUAAGGAAUAUUGGUCAAUGGACGCAAGUCUGAACCAGCCAUGCCGCGUGAAGGAUGACGGCCCUAUGGGUUGUAAACUUCUUUUGUACGGGAAAAAACCCCUGGUCGUGAAUCAGGGCUGAUGGUACCGUAAGAAUAAGCAUCGGCUAACUCCGUGCCAGCAGCCGCGGUAAUACGGAGGAUGCAAGCGUUAUCCGGAUUUAUUGGGUUUAAAGGGUGCGUAGGCGGGAUGAUAAGUCAGUGGUGAAAUCCUACAGCUCAACUGUAGAACUGCCAUUGAUACUGUCAACCUUGAGUACAUUUGAAGUGGGCGGAAUGUGUGGUGUAGCGGUGAAAUGCUUAGAUAUCACACAGAACACCGAUAGCGAAGGCAGCUCACUAAACUGUAACUGACGCUGAGGCACGAAAGCGUGGGGAGCAAACAGGAUUAGAUACCCCAGUAGUCC
rnacentral:rRNA from 1 species